GUCCAGACUCCUACGGGAGGCAGCAGUGGGGAAUUUUGGGACAAUGGGCGCAAGCCUGAUCCAGCAAUGCCGCGUGAGUGAAGAAGGCCUUCGGGUUGUAAAGCUCUUUUGUCAGGGAAGAAACGGUUGGGGCUAAUAUCCCCGGCUAAUGACGGUACCUGAAGAAUAAGCACCGGCUAACUACGUGCCAGCAGCCGCGGUAAUACGUAGGGUGCAAGCGUUAAUCGGAAUUACUGGGCGUAAAGCGUGCGCAGGCGGUUUUGUAAGUCUGAUGUGAAAUCCCCGGGCUCAACCUGGGAAUUGCAUUGGAGACUGCAAGGCUGGAAUCUGGCAGAGGGGGGUAGAAUUCCACGUGUAGCAGUGAAAUGCGUAGAGAUGUGGAGGAACACCGAUGGCGAAGGCAGCCCCCUGGGUCAAGAUUGACGCUCAUGCACGAAAGCGUGGGGAGCAAACAGGAUUAGAUACCCUGGUAGUCCACGCCCUAAACGAUGUCUACUAGUUGUCGGGUUUUAAUUAACUUGGUAACGCAGCUAACGCGUGAAGUAGACCGCCUGGGGAGU
rnacentral:rRNA from 2 species